ACCAGGCCGGUAGGAGCCCCAGGCGGGGGGGGGGGGGGCGGGGGCAGAUGAGUGGGCCCUAACCCCACCCCCCCCUCAGGAGGGAGGCCCCCACAGCCUCAAGAUUUCCCCAGAGCCCAGAGAAGGCGGACGGUAUCUGACUGUUCCCCUGGGCCACCCAUGUCCCCUGCCUUUUCUGGAAGGCCUCGGCCAAGCUGGCCGGCUGUGGUUAAGCUUGGAAAGCAGACCCUUUCCCCACCCUGAGCUCUGGGGCAGCCGCUCCUUUGACGACCAGGUUGUCCCGGGGGCCUCAAGGGGCCGAGCCCCUAGGGAACCUCUGCCCAGCACGGCCCACUGGCUCCUGGGGUCCCCUGCCCUACGUCAAAGGUUCCAAGAUGACUAACUGCAGUUCUCGUCCCCUCUGGCUCCUCCCUGAACACACACGGCAUGACAAGGCCACAUCCGGCUCACGUAUUUUGGCCAGUGGUCAGAGGUGGAGCCCCAGUGUUGCAGGGAGGCUUCGCACAACCUCUACAGUGCCCCAGAGGUCGGUGGGAUUUCGGAGCUGACCGACGCCUGCGACUGGUGGAGCUUUGGGUCUCUCCUGUAUGAACUGCUGACCGGGACGGCGCUGUCCCAGAGCCACCCCUCAGGAAUCCAGCCCCACACCCAGCUGCAGCUGCCCGAGUGGCUCAGUGGCCCGGCGGCCUCCCUGCUGACUGAGCUCCUGCAGUUCGACCCUGCCCGGCGCCUGGGCGCUGGAGGAGGCGGCGUCCACGAGCUCAAGGCCCACCCCUUUUUCAGUUCCAUCCAGUGGAGCAAACUGGGGGGAUAGGAGGGCGUGGUAUCGGCAAAGGGAGUGGCUGGACUGGUCUGGAUCUCCUCAUGUCUCUUUGCCUGCCACCUCCCAGCAGUGGCCCGUGGGCAAAGAAUGCAAGGCAGCUUGCCUUUCCUGGUCAGGACCCCACCCUUGGGCCUCAGAAGUCUCAUCACCACUGACCAGGAAGGGCCUUGUGGACUCCCCCAGCCACCUCUUGGAGAAAUGCUUUCUAGUUGGUGCUGAGGGGCAGAGAUCUCAGCCUGUUAGGCAGCUUGAACGUCUCCGCCUGUCCAUCCUCCGCCCAUCAGUCAAGUCACCUUCUGUGUCUACACCCUGUACCUUGAACUGGGACCUGCCCUGUUAAAAGGUGCCUUCCUUGGCAUUAGCUCUGAGCUACUGACCACCACCUGCUGAGCCGAGAA
rnacentral:lncRNA from 1 species